AUGUAGCGCUCGUGCACUUCGUUUCUGAGUGCGUCGUCCUCAUCCACCUGACGAUGACUCGCUACGUUGUGUGAGUC
rnacentral:sRNA from 1 species